ACGGGUAUAACACAAUGGGUGUGUGAGUCUUCCAAACUUUCAAACUGGUUCGAGUCCAGUUAUCCGGA